rnacentral:lncRNA from 1 species
CUGUGUUGGAGUGGCACCAGGAGUCUGCGCUUCUGCCAGCUGCAAUUUCUCCUUGUACCCGCUGGAAGCCAACCAGGAUGGCUGCCGGCCUGGUCCUGCCGAGUCCUGUCCCUUGUUGAUGGGCUCCAGGGAGCAAUUGGCCCUGGGCCUGGCAGCCCACCUGACCUCCCUGCAUUAUCCGCUGUCUGUCACUUGUCAUCGGGUUCAGAACCAGGACCUUCUGCCUUGGCCUCCUACCUGCAUGAGUGGCUGGCCACUCUUAGCAUCCACUGCCCACCCUCUGUGGCCACAGGCGAUUCUGCUAAUCUGAGCCAUCUGUGCAUCUUGAUCACAAGGAAGAUACCACCCUAAGCCUCCAAGGCCAGUUGGCCAAACAGAGAUUUGGCCACUCCUCCAGGAAGAGGUUUCUCACUAUGUCAGACGCAUCUCUGUCAGAAGCCCUUGCAAACAGUCAAACCAUUUUGUACUAUCAUUUCUGAUACGCAGCUCAAGAGGCACCAUGGGUACAAUCACAUCUGACAUAAUAUAGCUGCUAGAACACUUGGCCUGGCAGUUUUAGAAAGGGACUUUCAUGAUUAAAACACUCUUUCUCAGGGCAGCAUCUGCGAUGCCACCUACAUCUUUUGCCUGAGGGAUUCCCAGAGGGUCAAUAUCACCUCCUUUUCCCUUCUUUUGCUAACUCAGUGAAGAAAGAGCAAAGAUGAGUGAGUCAGAGCUUGGGAUAAAUUAUUACACAUAUGUCUGUGCAUGUUUGCAUCUGAGAAUAAAUGAAAGAAAAAUUAACCUG